CUGAGGCUGGCUCAUUUAGCUGACACACGGCUUACUACAUGCACACAAAGCAGAACCACACUGGUUUGUUUUUUAAAUUCCUCCGUCCUACUCAAUUCCGUUACCGUCACCGUCCACCUCCGUUACUCUCAUCCUCACCGUUCAUCUUCUCCGAUCUACCUCCCCGUCGUUAACCGUAUGAAGCACGCCGUCAACGGUUCCUUUUCUCCGGGAUCUUCCCGUCCUUCCCCGUCGACGCUUUCCCGAGAAGAUUGCUGGAGCGAGGAAGCGACCUUCACGCUAAUCCAAGCCUGGGGCUCUCGCUACGUCAACCUCAGCCGCGGCAGCCUCCGUCAAAAUCACUGGCAAGAGGUGGCUAACGCCGUCAACGACCGUCACUUCAACACCGGCCGAAACGUCUCCGCCGCCAAAUCGCAGCCCUCCCGCACCGACGUCCAGUGUAAAAACCGGAUCGAUACCUUGAAGAAGAAGUACAAAGUCGAGAAAGCUAGGGUUUCCGGCGCCGGCGGCAGCGGCGGCUACGUCAGCACAUGGCCUUUCUUCUCCGAUCUCGACGACCUUCUCGGAGAAACCUUCCCGACGUCUAGUGCCACUCCGUCGCUGCAGAUGACGAUUGUUCCGGUUCCGGUCGCUCCACGAUCGGCGAUCCCCAGACGUCCGGCGCCGGCGCCGGCGAUUAUGCGAAUCGGAGGGGACAAUUUGCUCGGAUAUCGCGGGAAUCUCAACGCGUUCGCGGCGGCCGCGGCGGCGGCGGCGUCUUCUCCGGCGUAUGAAGAUGAUUCGGAUGGGUCAAGGUCGAGAUCGAGCGGAGGGAAGAGGAAGCGGGAGGAGAAGCAAGGCUACAAGGAAGUUGCGGAAGCAAUAGAGAGGCUUAGGGAGAUAUACGAGAGGGUGGAGGAGAGGAAGAGGAAGGAGAUGGUGGAGUUGGAGAAGCAGAGGAUGCGAUUCGCUAAGGAGCUGGAGUGUCAUAGGAUGCAGCUCUUCACGGAGAUGCGUGUUCGUCUUCACAAACUCAGGCGUACUAAAGGUCCGACAUCUUCCGGUGAGACAUGAAGCCCUUACCUCGCCGUUGUUUCUGCUCUUGUGUAUCUCAGGCUUGGUUGCAAUUCCUAUAGCAUGAUUGGUGAUUAGUCCUUGUGAAUCCGAUAGCUCUUGGGUAUGGGAUGAUGGAUUUGCCAAGUUACUUGUAAGCGGUAGGCUCCUUGUAUUUUUGCUUUCAACUAUGACAACUCUCACUCUCUUAUCUCAACAAUCAAACAUUAAUUGGUCUAAAGAGCCUUAUGUAAAUCCUCCCGUCAUGUUUUAAGUGCCUGGUGUUUUUUUGGGGUCAU